AGAAGGCGCCGUCUGCGUCGUCUGCGCCGCACUCAUUGCGCAUGCUCAGAAUUUUUGCGGGAAAUCUUUUCCCGCCAAAGUUAGUGUUGUUGUGAGAGGCAAAGGUUCUCGGGGAUAAACGUGCUCCAUAACAGUGUCAUAAUGGAAGGCUUUGAUAAUCCUGGCAUCUUCUUCUCCGAUAACUUUUCUACUGAAGAGCAAAAUGAUCUAAGUUAAAUCAACUUACAAACUGUAAAGAAGAAAUUUAGAGAAUUUUUGCGUGAAUUUCACGAAGGGAACUUCAAUUACAAAUACAGAGACUCUCUAAAGCAUCAUUAUAACUUGCGGCAAUAUUAUUUGGAAGUCAGUCUUGAAGAUGUAGCCAGCUUUGAUGAAACCCUUGCAGGUAAACUUAAGAAAGCCCCUACAGAACAUCUCCCACUCUUUGAGGAAGCUGCGAAAGAAGUUGCUGAUGAGGUGACUGCUCCUCGACCACAGGGAGAAGAGAAGGUAGAAGACAUUCAGAUUAUGCUGACCUCUGGUGCCAAUCCUGUUGAUCUUCGCAGUCUGCAGGUUUGUGAAGAGACUUCACUACAUUAUUUAAUAAAUUGUAAAAUGUUUGAAAACAUUUUUGAAAAUGUUUGAAAUGUUUGUAGCUCUUGAAAAGAGUUUGUACAGCGUGUCCUCACUUGAACGAACUAUAUGGGAUAAAGCUGAUUCGUUCCAGUGCAGAAUUAGUUCCAUCAAUCUGGUCGCAACAACCCUUCUACCCCCCCCCCCUCCCCCAAU